GAUGAACGCUAGCUACAGGCUUAACACAUGCAAGUCGAGGGGAAACGACAUCGAAAGCUUGCUUUUGAUGGGCGUCGACCGGCGCACGGGUGAGUAACGUGUAUCCAACCUGCGCAUCACUUGGGGAUAACCUUGCGAAAGUAAGACUAAUACCCAAUGAUAACUCUAGAAGACAUCUGAAAGAGAUUAAAGAUUUAUCGGUGAUGGACGGGGAUGGGUCUGAUUAGCUUGUUGGCGGGGUAACGGCGAACCAAGGCGACGAUCAGUAGGGGUUCUGAGAGGAAGGUCCCCCACAUUGGAACUGAGACACGGUCCAAACUCCUACGGGAGGCAGCAGUGAGGAAUAUUGGUCAAGGGACGAGAGUCUGAACCAGCCAAGUAGCGUGCAGGAUGACGGCCCUAUGGGUUGUAAACUGCUUUUAUAAGGGAAUAAAGUGAGUCUCGUGAGACUUUUUGCAUGUACCUUAUGAAUAAGGACCGGCUAAUUCCGUGCCAGCCGCCGCCGUAA
rnacentral:rRNA from 1 species